GUUGAAUGGUGCUGGUUUGUGGGGUUGGUGCUGUGCUGUGCUGCACGUUUCGUCCCGGCUGAGCCCCACAGCGAGUGUGGGUCUGGAGAGGGCUCUGAGGAGCUGGAGCGAGUCCGGCGGUUCGCGAAGGGACAGUGUAUUACACCCAAGAAGAUGAAGGCAGGUGGCCUUGGAUGUGACACUUCAUGGAAAUAAGUAUUCCAGGGCAUGAAAUCUUUCUGUAUUUUCAGAAAAGCUGAUUCUCCACUCCUGGGAUGGCACAGUGUGUUUGCUGUCACUGGGGUUUUAUCCUCAUGCUGAGUUUGGACUGCCUGGCCAAAGGACAAGAGAUUUUGUCUUCUCUCACAUUUGAAGCGCAGCAAAAGUGAUCUUGUGUCUCCUGGAACAGAGAACUCUGUGCUGAUCUCUACAUUUCAUACAAAGAAGGAUUGGGCAGCAUGAGAUGGAUGCAGGAAAUGCAUUGAUGCAGUGGUGGAAUAAACAGCUGUGCCUACACAUUGUUCAAGUUGUAACAUUCACUUCUUUGCUGAGUGAGCUGCUCGGGGCUGGCCCUUUUCUUGUAGUUUGCUGCAAGAAAUUAAAAUAAAUUAAGUGGGAUAAACA